GGCCGGGGAGGCGGGGGUGGCCGGGGCUGGCCUGGAGGCCUGGCGCCACCCUUCGGGGCCUGCAAGGACCCAGUUGGGGGGGCAAGAGGGCGCCGGGGGAUGGUUGGUGGUGGGCUUUCUACUUUGCCUUUUUCUCCUUAUGCCCCCUUAGUGAGGGGCGGGAGCUCUGGCGGCAGCUCCGGGGUGGGGAGACAAGCCCCGGAGUCGGAAGAGCUGGGUUUGCUUCCGGGCCUAGCCACCAGCUGGCCGAGUGACCUUAGGCAAAUCACUCAGUAAUUUGUCGGCGCCUCAGUUUCCUCCUCUGCCUAUCAAUGUUUGUGGGGUUGAAAGCGCUUUGUAAAGUAUAAAGCGUCGGUAUGUACGUAAGGGAUGAUUAUUGUUUGUAACGGGGUUUUUUUGAGUUGUAAGAAAAGUUAGCAAUUGCCCAGUUCUUGGAUUUUGAACCUGGGAACCUUGGAUUGAAGUUGGAGAUCCCCCUAAACUCCUUGGAAUUGUAUGCAGAAAUAGUGGGAGUGUGCAUUUUUGGGGAAUGAGGAUCCAUCGCCAGCAAGUUUUCAAAGGGGGCUGUGACCCAGAAGAGUUAAAAACUAUGAUUCUUUUAUGCCACAGGGAGGAAACUGAGGCCUAGAUGUCAUUUGGGACCCUUCACAACCGAUUUGAAGCCCCUGUUUGAAUCCCUGGGAUAUGUGAGCUGUUUCUAUGCAUAAUGGAUAGUUGGGGUAACAACACUCCACUGCUUGGCUUCUAUUCUGAGUCCUUUCCUUUUACCAUGGGGUGCCUGAAGGGUGGCUGACACGUUGGUAUGGCUCAAUGGCACCCAAUAUAAAGCAGCUAAAACUAGAAAUGGGUGUGUUCUCUACUAUUAAGAAGCCUGUAGAAUCUUUGGGCCAGCAAUUCUUGGUUUUCUGCUGCUUAUACUGGUACCUGACUACCUUCCUCUUUCAUUGACAAUUUUCCACAACCAUGGUUGCCAUCCAUUACUCCUCAAUAUUCUAUAUCCUUAGUCUGUGCGGUUGGUAGUGAGCAGGCUUAUUUUUAAAUGGUGCUGCCGAGUCCAGCUAAUUAAUGGUGCAGGUGGAUUUUUAGCAAGCUGGCUCACUUGGAACAGACUAAAUCAGGCAUGGAAUUCCUGAAGAUGUUUGGGGGUUUAUGUUUCUUAAUGGAAGGUUAACAUUCUCUGGAAAGUUUUGUCAUGACUUCUGCUGAACUGCAAAAUCAGUAGAUUUGGAAGUGUUUCAAUGCUUAACUGUUUCCUGGCCUGCUUUGUAUUCUAUUUGCUUGAAAGUGUGUCACUAAGAUGGCCAAAAUGCUUCUUUGUUAAUUGUCAGCUGCUUUUAUCAAAUUCCAGGCCAUUGUCCAGCAAACACUAUAGAAAUGUUUGAACAGUUGGAUUUCAAACAUUUUCAUUUUGUGGGGUGGUGCUUACCAGUGGUACAGCUCUAAGCAAGUGAACAUAAACACAUGUAAGUGUAUUUUGUCUGGUUAGGCGUUUACCUGUUUUGCUAUUCCAUACAAAUGUCUGAGAAAAUCAAUUGACUAUUCCUUUUACAUAAAGGGGAGAGACAAAUGAUCUCACUUCCAGAGAAAUGACUGUUUUGGAGAAAAACGUGUUGGUCUUUUAGCUCUUUUGUUAUUAUCUGGAUGUACCUCAAAAGAAUCUUAAGACUGUGGUGAUCUUAUAAGAUGCUUUCCUCCAGAAAAAGGAGGGGGAAAAAAACAACUGGAACUCAAAGCUUGAAAUUCUGUGACAAAACGUGAGAUGUCCAGGAUAGGAGGCCGAAAAGGUUUCACUACGGUGUUCUGCACUAGCUGGAGCAGAUGCUCUUCUGUGUAGCCAUGACAUGGACUCCAGAUUUCCAGAUUUUCAAGAACUGCACCUGCCACUUGAAGAGCUUGUCAGGAUGUGACAGGAACUCUGGAGCUGAAUAUUUUUGUUUUUGAAUUUGGGGGCUGUUGACCUUGCUUCAAGAAGAGACAACGACCGAGCAAGCACUGCCACCAGCACUAUUACUGGGAAUUCGAAGACCUGAGUUUCUGCCAGACCUUCAGUGCAAACUCUAGCAACACUCCAUCAAAAGUGAACUACGUCCUGUGCCUCCUGAUUGCUGAGUAUUCAUCUGGACCUUCUGACCACCUUCCUUGUACUAUUCCAUCAGCCUACAGAUCUGGUACCUGGAUUUUUGCCCUUGGUGAUUCCUUCACCUUACUGCUGAAGAAGACACCAUUCCAGUGGACCACUGUGAUCCAGGAGGCAUUCAACCAUCAUGAUGUGGCCUUCACCUCCACUCCUGUUCCACUCAGAUUCAGAACAGCCCUUUAUAGUGAAGUCAAACUGUUUAAGCCAAGUAGCUGAAACUAUAUUGUCGCAACAAAGGCCCAAUUUUUUCCUCGAGUGUGCAUUUCAUUUUUUCAGUUAAGGCCUUCAGAGACAUGGUAAAUUUGGACCAGGGGAUUUUUAGUUAUCAACACUGAAGAAUGACAACAUCUUGUCAAGAAUGGCAUUGGACCAUACCCCACAAUCUCAAAUGAUUGAAAUUAAUGAAGUGUCUAGGAUCCUAUCCAGGUCACUGGACCCUAUUCUUUGUCCACUUCAAGUCUAUAGUAGCCUACUGAAUAGAAAGCAGAUAUUCUGACCAGCAGAUAUUGGGAUUAAAACAAAGGCACAGUGAACUCACAGCAUCUUUGGGAUUACUCAGGAACCAGAACUUUUCACACAAAUGUAAGAAAUUCUACCAAGGAAUCCCUUUACCUAACAGCAUCUCACAAAGCUCCAAUCAGAUUCCAGAAAAGACCUCUUGAUAUAUCCAGCAUUUUGUGAACAACUUAUUCUUAGAUCAUUGGUUUUCCAAAGGCUUUGUGACCAUGAAGCCCUUUGGAAGAAAACUAUGUGGAAGCCCAGAGUAAAAGAGAAGCUGCUGUAGAUGAAGCAGGAGUGGGGGGCCUGAAACCUGCCACAAGCAUCUUCCUUUAUCACCAUGGUGACCCCUAAGGAGACUUCUUUACAACACCUAGAAUUCUUCAGAACACUGUUUGAAAACCACUGCCCUAGACAACAUGUGCAACCUGAAUGGCAUUCUGAUCUGUACCUCUACCAACCAAGUCCAUGUUCAGUUGAUGCUACUCAUCCUUAGGAAUACUUACUGUGGGCAAAGUCAGAAAAGUACAAGAAGAUGGGCAUAUCUUUGCCCCCUCAGAGUAGUCAUGUGGGCUGAAAGUGGUAUCAAAUGGACUAGAUCAACAGCCCUGUACCCCCAGAUGGAUAUCAAGUCAGUGAUUCCUGGGAUUCAAUAUAGUCAGAGAGCAAUUCAUACGUACUCUACACUGACAUACCCCCUUACCCAACUUCUUUCACAAACACCAGAUGCUCUAGUGGUACUUGAAAUAAAUAACUCUGAAGUCUUGAUCCUCUUUGGAUACCUGAAUCACCAGGUAUUGAAGCUGGUACUAAAGUUGAUGAUGCCUCAUUGAGGCCAUGUUAGACCAACUUGUAUACGUUGGACCUCCCAUCAUCAGCCAUGGUACUCUACUUCGUGUGCAAGGGAUAACCAUUAACAAUGAAAGUAGAACUGAAAUACUGGUAACAUUACCUAGGGGUAAUGGUUAUUCAUCUUAUUCUCAAAACUCCAAGUCACUAUGACUCAACCAGGGGCAGUUACACUGCUCCUUGGUUAUUUUUCAGUUUAACUGCUGUUUUCCAAGAUAAAUGAGCUAACAACCUUAAAAAAAAUAAAAUUUUCUCCAUCAUUGGCACAUCUCCAAAAUUACGAAUACUCUUCGCUAACUACAUGUAACACCUGAUCCACAAGAGACUAUUUUUGGAUAUCCUCUCUCCUGUAUAUGAUGUUAAAUGUGAUGCUUUGGAAAAUUUUCUUCUAACCAAUGAGAGGUACUCUUAUGAUGGAUCUUUUGAUGUCUGGUACCAUCAACUACCAGGCGUUAGGGAUAUUUGGAGGUAGACCUUUUGACCAAGCCAUGGUAGUUUGCUUGCUGGGCAUCUCAAGUUGUGUAUCAUCUACCUUUUUGCUGGAAAUGUAGACUGACUUGAAAAUCUACAAAGCCUGCAGCUAAGAUUUUAGACUCCCGAGCUUCCUGCAGCUUCUUCCUAAUAUUACAAGACCACAGUGUCUUGUCCUUGUGGAUGUUUUAAUGGAGUUUCAUCUGUCUCAAUACUGUUGUUUUACACUGAUUCAGAGUGGCUGACUUCAUUCCUUGCUAUGAGAUACUCUCAGGCAUUAAGACAACUUAAUCUGUUUCUGCAGGAUGGAUUCAAUUCAUGAACUCCCAGACAGAUCAUGUCAGACAAGUAGACUUCGAUUUUUGUCAUGAGAAAAAUCUCAGUCCUUCACUUCACAGUCUACUUAAGGGCCAGCUAUCCUCAACUAUAAUGAAUGCACUGGUUAAAUGUUGGGAAUGAUUUCUUUGUAUCUUUGUCUCUUAUUCUCUAGACUAACCCGGAUUAUGUGACUUUGUCUACAAAUCAUCAAACAAGGCCUGUGCAUCCUCAACUAAUAAAAAUCUAACGACUAGCUUGCUUGUAUAUACAACUAUUGUUAAUAAGAAGUUAUCUACAAACUCCAUUUUCUACUACCUUCAAAAUGUCAGCUCAAUUUUUUUUUUCUGUACUUUACAGAAAAAGAUACGGAUCUACACUGCCAGUCAUUCCGUUUAAUCCUGUCAAACACAGUCAAAAUGAGGGAUUUAAGGGAGAAGAAUCCAUU